AAUCAACGCUGGCGGCGUGCCUCAGACAUGCAAGUCGAACGCGAAAGUUUCCUUCGGGAAGCGAGUAGAGUGGCGUCCGGGUGAGUAACACGUAGGUAAUCUACCUUUGGGUGGGGAAUAACAACCGGAAACGGUUGCUAAUACCGCAUAAUGCAGCGGCACCACAUGGUGACAGUUGUUAAAGCGGGGGAUCGCAAGACCUCGCGCCUAAAGAGGAGCCUGCGGCGGAUUAGCUAGNGGUAAGGUAACGGCUUACCAAGGCAACGAUCCGUAGCCGGCCUGAGAGGGCGGUCGGCCACACUGACACUGAAAUACGGGUCAGACUCCUACGGGAGGCAGCAGUCGGGAAUUUUGGGCAAUGGGCGAAAGCCUGACCCAGCAACGCCGCGUGAAGGAUGAAAUCCCUCGGGA
rnacentral:rRNA from 1 species